UACGGGGGGGAGCAAGCGUUGUUCGGAUUUACUGGGCGUAAAGGGCGCGUAGGCGGUCGUGACAAGUCACUUGUGAAAUCUCCGGGCUUAACUCGGAACGGUCAAGUGAUACUGUCGGACUAGAGUACAGAAGGGGCAAUUGGAAUUCUCGGUGUAGCGGUGAAAUGCGUAGAUAUCGAGAGGAACACCUGCGGCGAAGGCGGGUUGCUGGGCUGAUACUGACGCUGAGGCGCGAAAGCUAGGGGAGCGAACGGG
rnacentral:rRNA from 1 species